GAUUCCCUCUGCUGGCUAUCUCGAAUAGCAAGCGAUUUUUGCAGCAACGCUGCUGCCGCUGGAACUGAACCUGAAGAACUCAAAUGCGGGCGGUGGAUUAUUUCUUAUCCCUCCUCCAUCUACCCCACACAAGAGCUGCUUUUUGUUCCUCUUUUUUAUCUCUUUCUAGGAGUCUUGAGACUUCUCUUCUUUUGGUGUGGAUUCCGGAACUCCUUUCUGAAGCAAGAGGCAAAUAUCUCUCAGCAGAGAAUGCCAAGACCAAUCACUUAACCAUGGCAAUCUUACUCAGCAUGGUAAUUCCCACCCUGAUGGUCCCAAGAUGGCUGCAGCAGUUUCAGCCAUGUUAUCCUAAUCCACCAACAUCUGGAGGUAUCUGUCUUUUCAAUCUCCAUCUAUUACAAAUGUAGGAUACUUUUACCAGAAGGUCCUCCUCUAGACUACUACUCAUGUUUCAUUGGACAAAUUUGGUCCCAUGGAAUUUCUUAAGUCAUUUACUGAUGAGGAAAGUGGAAUUAUCAUGACUGGAUUAGACUACCUAAGAUUCACCACUCCUGAGCCUGGAGAAAGAUAAUUUUCUCAGAGCAAACAACUGCAUAUGGCUGAAGAUAGGAAUGAACUAUAAAACAAAAUUGGAGUCCUCCAGGAAAGAAAGGGGGAAUUAAAGGGAAAUGAUUGUGUAGGCAAAACACAAUAGUCUCCAAUGCCAAAUAAACUUUGUUUUGUUACUCUCUCAUCUACUUUAUCACAUUUUUUUCCUUGUUACCCUUCUCACCUUAAUUCAUCACCAAUAAGCCUCUUUAAAUCAAAUUUUUGAUGGUCAUCCAUAAAUCUCCAAGAAAUUGAGUGAUAAUUAACAUUACAGUGAUAAUGAGCUUAAGGUCUUGUUUCUUCUUGAAA
rnacentral:lncRNA from 1 species